AGCCAACCAAAAGAUCAAAAAGAAAACUAAAAGAAAAGAUUUGGGGAACAAAUCCCCAGAUUCGGAAACAGAGGAAGACGAAUCAAUCAGAGGAGUGGCAUGCACACACGUCACCGCCUCGGGGAGCCCACAUCGCCGCUGCUUCUCCAGCUACAUCUUCUUCCUCAACCCCGAUCCUGGUGGAGCGGCUAGGCUGCAGCAAUCCGUGGGCAAACAUGAGUGGGUUGAAAAAGAAGUUAUUUUCUCUUUAGCAAGAACCAGAACUAAAUCAUAUAGUUGUCUUAUGGCACGCUUCUGAUGUCCAACACUACAAUGGGAAGUACCACUCGAUCAUGCGAUGCGUACCUGCUGUUCAAUGGCGAAACACUGCUUCCAAAUGGUGUCCGUGCUUUCCUUUGUACUGUUGCCCUAGCGUACUGUUUUAUUGGUUUAUCCGCGAUCACUGCCCGGUUCUUCAAGUCGAUGGAGAGCAUCACAAACCACUCUCGGGAGGUAGUUACAGUUGAUACAGAAACAAAUACGCCUAUCGUGAAGCAUGAGAAGGUUUGGAACUACACUAUAGCGGACAUUGCUCUGCUUGCUUUUGGUACCAGCUUUCCCCAGAUCUCCCUCGCAACAAUCGAUGCAAUCCGUAAUCUCGGUCAACUGACAGCAGGAGGUUUAGGUCCAGGUACACUUGUGGGUUCUGCUGCGUUCGAUCUGUUCCCGAUCCAUGCUGUCUGUGUGGUUAUGCCAAGGGCAGGCUCUAUGAAAAAGAUUUCCGAUUUAGGUGUUUGGUUAGUUGAGCUGUUUUGGUCAUUCUGGGCAUACAUCUGGCUGUAUAUUAUUUUAGAGGUGUGGACACCUAAUGUGAUCACCCUCUGGGAGGCCCUGCUAACAGUUUUGCAGUAUGGAUUACUUUUGGUUCAUGCGUAUGCGCAGGAUAAGCGGUGGCCAUAUGUGUCAAUCCCUUUGGUCAGAGGUGAGAGACCUGAAGAUUGGGUUCCAGCAGAAGAUACUUCACUUCACCAUGACAAAAAUUGUGAUGAAAAUAGUGACAUACUACCCAGCGAGAAUGAUGAUGUUGUGGAUAUAUUCUCCAUUCAUUCUUACAGCAAUGCAGGGUAUCAUCAUGUUCCGGAAAAGGAUAUAGAAGAAUCGUCCAAAACAACUCUUGUAGUAAAGAACACACAAGAGGAUAUUUACUGGCUUUCUGUUUGGCGGCAACAAUUUGUGGAUGCUGUAAUGCUGGAGAGUCCUGAGCUAAAGAAAAUGGAUCCUGUCUGCCUGAGAUUUAUCAUAAUAUGUUGGAACUCAAUCAUCGCACCUUGGAAAUUGUUGUUUGCUUUUGUGCCCCCGUAUCAAAUCGCACAUGGAUGGAUUGCUUUUAUUUUCUCUCUGAUCUUCAUAAGUGGUAUUGCCUAUGGGGUCACCAAUAUUACAGACCAGAUAAGCUGUGUCACAGGACUAAACCCAUAUGUUAUAGCAUUCACAGCGCUGGCUGCUGGAACCUCAUGGCCGGAUCUAGUCGCUAGCAAGAUUGCUGCCGAGCGUCAAGUUACUGCAGACUCUGCAAUUGCCAACAUCACUUGCAGCAAUUCAGUGAACAUAUACGUUGGCAUUGGUGUUCCGUGGUUGAUCAACACAGUGUACAAUUUCUUUGCCUACCAGGAACCAUUGUACAUAGACAAUGCUGCUGGUCUCAGCUUCUCACUUCUGGUCUUCUUCGCAACAUCUUUUGGUUGUAUCACAGUUUUGGUUCUCCGCCGCAUAGUAUUUGGUGCUGAGCUUGGGGGGCCUAGGCUGUGGGCUUGGGCAACAUCGGCUUAUUUCAUGGUCCUUUGGGUUGUUUUUGUUCUACUUUCUUCUUUAAGAGUUUCUGGGGUAAUAUAGACUUUUAUAGGAGCAAAAUAUGGUUCUGCCUGGUAAAAAAAUGGUUGGGUAUUUAUUCAAGACACAUAGCCAACCAAAGUUAGUCGUUUGAUUAGGUAUUGUAGAUACAUACUCUAUUAUUCAUUCAAGCCGAACAUGUCAUAUACUCUAUUCGUAUGAUGGAUGCAUGUUUUUCAAAAGUAAAAGGAGUACAGCACUCCUUGUAAAUGUUAUCUCUUUUAAUUCUAGACCGG
rnacentral:rRNA from 1 species